GAAUAAGUUGUUGGUAAGGUAAUGGCUUACCAAGCUUGUGAUCUUUAGCAGGUUUGAAAAAAUGAUCUGCCACACUGGAAUUGAGAAUGGUCCAGACGUUCGGCAGCAGUGAGGAAUCUUGGACAAUGAGCGCAAGCUUGAUCCAGCAAUUCUGCGUGGGUGAUGACUGUUAUUUAAUUGUAAAACCCAUUUAUUUUUAGAAAAAAUGAUUCUAGAAAAAAAAGUUCUGACAAAUUACGUGCCAGCAGUCGCGGUAAAACGUAAAGAGCAAGCAUUACUUGGAUUUAUUGGGCGUAAAGCGUUUGUAGGUGGUUUCUUUUGUUAUUUGUAAAAGUGCAUAGCUCAACUAUGCAAAAUAAAUAUAACUAAGUUACUUGAGUUUUUAGAUAAGGAAAGUAGAAUUUCCAGCUUACAGUUAAAAUUGGUUGACUCUGGAAGGAAUAACGAUGGCGAAGGCAACUUUCUUGUUUUUAACUGACACUGAGAAACGAAAGUUCAGGGAGCAAACGGGAUUAGACACCCCGGUAGUCUGAACUGUAAACGAUGCAUGCUGAACGUAAAAAGUCUUUUAGGAGUCUUUAUACGUUUAAGUUAACACUAAGCAUGCCGCCUGGAGAGUAUCGCCGCAAGGCCGAAAUUCAAAGGAAUUGACGGGAGCUGAUUAAAGACAGUGGAGCAUGCGGGUUAAUUCGACAUUACGCGAAAACCUUACCAACUUUUGACAGUAACUUUUAAUGUUUAACAGGUGUUGCAUGGUUGUCGUCAGCUCGUGUUGUAAAAUGUCUGGUUAAGUCCUUUAACGAGCGCAACCCCCAUUGUAAAUAUCAUUUUUUGGUUUACAAAAUGGCCUAAGACAAUUAGGAUGAAAGAGGGGAUCACGUCAAAUCAUCAUGACCCUAAUAAGUUGGGCUGCACGCGUGCUACAAUGGUAAAGACAACGUGAAGCUAUGGGGCAACUCGGAGCAAGCAAAAAAACUUUGCCUUAGUUCGGAUCAAAAAUUGCAACUCAUUUUUGUGAAGAUGGAAUUGUUAGUAAUCGCAAAUGAGAAUGUUGCGGUGAAAUUUAAUCUCAGCUUUGUACAUACCGCCCGUCACAUUACGAGAAUGAUAGGUGGCUGAAAAAGUAUUUUUUGUACUUUUAGGACAUUUAUGAUAAUUGUAAUGAAGUCGUAACAAGGUAGCUGUAAGUGAACUUGUAGCUGAAGU
rnacentral:rRNA from 1 species